rnacentral:rRNA from 1 species
GACAGAGGGUGCAAACGUUGUUCGGAAUUACUGGGCGUAAAGCGAGUGUAGGCGGUUUCCUAAGUCAGGUGUGAAAGCCCCGGGCUCAACCCGGGAAGUGCACUUGAAACUGGGAGGCUAGAGUAUCGGAGAGGUUGGUGGAAUUCUCGGUGUAGAGGUGAAAUUCGUAGAUAUCGAGAGGAACACCGGUGGCGAAGGCGGCCAACUGGACGAAUACUGACGCUGAUGCGCGAAAGCUAGGGGAGCAAACAGG